rfam:Salmo salar isolate Sally breed double haploid chromosome ssa28, whole genome shotgun sequence.
UCCCGUGUGGCUCAGUUGGUAGAGCAUGGUGUUUGCAACACCAGGGUUAUGGGUUCGAUUCCCACGGGGGAC